CCUACGGGUGGCAGCAGUGGGGAAUAUUGCACAAUGGGGGGAACCCUGAUGCAGCGACGCCGCGUGGGUGAAGGAGUAUUUCGGUAUGUAAAGCCCUAUCAGCAGGGAAGAACAAUGACGGUACCUGACUAAGAAGCACCGGCUAAAUACGUGCCAGCAGCCGCGGUAAUACGUAUGGUGCAAGCGUUAUCCGGAUUUACUGGGUGUAAAGGGUGCGCAGGCGGCGCGUUAAGCCUGGUGUGAAAGUCCGCGGCCCAACCGCGGGACUGCAUUGGGAACUGGCGCGCUGGAGUGCCGGAGGGGUAGGCGGAAUGCGUGGUGUAGCGGUGAAAUGCAUAGAUAUCACGCAGAACUCCGAUGGCGAAGGCAGCAUACCGGCGCUCAACUGACGCUCAUGCACGAAAGUGUGGGUAUCGAACAGGAUUAGAUACCCUUGUAGUC
rnacentral:rRNA from 1 species